rnacentral:lncRNA from 1 species
CAGGACCUGCUGAACCUGGGGCCCUAUAGGAGAGCACUGAUGGCCCACCCCUGAUUGUGGCCCUGGUCUUCAUGUCUGCAUCAGCCUCAGCCAUCUCAAGACCACAACAGGAACAUAGCCAAGUCAGAGAAGGAAGACCAAAAGCACCAGGGCCCUUCAUAUUAUUAAGCUGCUAAAUUAACUAAUCUUGGAAACUUCUAGACUCUACAAUUCUUGUUGUAUGAGAGUGGAUUGACAAUUAUUCUCUGGACUUUUUGGUAACCAAGAACUUCUAGCAACUAACCCUGGCAUGACCACCAGAAUCUGCAGGGCUGAGAGAAGAAAGAAAGGCAAAAGUGGAUGAAUGCAGCUGAAGAUGCUGUGGAACUCCUAUCACAUUCCAAGUGCUGUGUUGAUAUCUGGAGAUAUAGACAAGAUCGAAGCAGAUGCAGUCUUUCACAUGAAUAUUUGAAUCAGGCAGAUGCAGGUGAUGGGUAUUGGCCUCAGCUUUAGAGACCAGAGGUUAAAUCUCAGUGCUGCCUGCCACAAAACGAUCCAUGUAAGUCAAUAAACAAUGCUUUUUAAAAUAUUAUUAUAAAG